CAGGACGAACGCUGGCGGCGUGCUUAACACAUGCAAGUCGAGCGGUAAGGCUCCUUCGGGAGUACACGAGCGGCGAACGGGUGAGUAACACGUGAGCAAUCUGCCCUUCACUUUGGGAUAACUCCGGGAAACCGGUGCUAAUACCGAAUGCGACCACUUCAGGCAUCUGACGGUGGUGGAAAGUUCCGGCGGUGAAGGAUGAGCUCGCGGCCUAUCAGCUUGUUGGUGAGGUAAUGGCUCACCAAGGCUUCGACGGGUAGCCGGCCUGAGAGGGUGACCGGCCACACUGGGACUGAGACACGGCCCAGACUCCUACGGGAGGCAGCAGUGGGGAAUAUUGGACAAUGGGCGAAAGCCUGAUCCAGCAACGCCGCGUGAGGGAUGACGGCCUUCGGGUUGUAAACCUCUUUCAGCAGGGACGAAGCGAAAGUGACGGUACCUGCAAAAGAAGCACCGGCCAACUACGUG
rnacentral:rRNA from 1 species